CUCAGUACAAGCCAAAAUAAGGUGAAACCGCGAAAGGCUCAUUAAAUCAGUUAUGGUUCCUUAGAUCGUACCCACAUUUACUUGGAUAACUGUGGUAAUUCUAGAGCUAAUACAUGCAAACAGAGCUCCGACCGGAGACGGAAGGAGUGCUUUUAUUAGAUCAAAACCAAUCGGCGUCAGUAGCGUUUCGGCGUUAUUGUUCGUCGCACUAUUUGGUGACUCUGAAUAACUUUUGGCUGAUCGCACGGUCUAGUACCGGCGACGCAUCUUUCAAAUGUCUGCCUUAUCAACUGUCGAUGGUAGGUUCUGCGCCUACCAUGGUUGUAACGGGUAACGGGGAAUCAGGGUUCGAUUCCGGAGAGGGAGCCUGAGAAACGGCUACCACAUCCAAGGAAGGCAGCAGGCGCGCAAAUUACCCACUCCCGGCACGGGGAGGUAGUGACGAAAAAUAACGAUACGGGACUCAUCCGAGGCCCCGUAAUCGGAAUGAGUACACUUUAAAUCCUAUAACAAGGACCAAUUAGAGGGCAAGUCUGGUGCCAGCCGCCGCGGUAACUCCAGCUCUAAUAGCGUAUAUUAAAGUUGUUGCGGUUAAAAAGCUCGUAGUUGAAUCUGUGUUCCGCGCUGUCGGUUCACCGCCCGCGGUGUUUAACUGGCACGUCUCGCGGAACGUCCUGCCGGUGGAUGCGUGUCCUUUGUUCACUUGCCCAUUAUGCGUGUGCAACUUCGGUUGUUACUGUAUAGUGCGGUACGGUUCAAAUGUGUCACCAUCCGACUCAAUAAUCCUGUCGCGGUGCUCUUAAUUGAGUGUCGAGGCGGGCCGGCACGUUUACUUUGAACAAAUUAGAGUGCUCAAAGCAGGCUAAAAUUUUGCCUGAAUACUGUGUGCAUGGAAUAAUGGAACAGGACCUCGGUUCUAUUUUGUUGGUUUUCGGAACCCCGAGGUAAUGAUUAAUAGGGACAGAUGGGGGCAUUCGUAUUGCGACGUUAGAGGUGAAAUUCUUGGAUCGUCGCAGGACGGACAGAAGCGAAAGCAUUUGCCAAAAAUGUUUUCAUUAAUCAAGAACGAAAGUCAGAGGCCCGAAGGCGAUCAGAUACCGCCCUAGUUCUGACCAUAAACGAUGCCAGCUAGCGAUCCGCCGACGUUCCUCCGAUGACUCGGCGGGCAGCUUCCGGGAAACCAAAGCUUUUGGGUUCCGGGGGAAGUAUGGUUGCAAAGCUGAAACUUAAAGGAAUUGACGGAAGGGCACCACCAGGAGUGGAGCCUGCGGCUUAAUUUGACUCAACACGGGAAACCUCACCAGGCCCGGACACCGGAAGGAUUGACAGAUUGAGAGCUCUUUCUUGAUUCGGUGGGUGGUGGUGCAUGGCCG
rnacentral:rRNA from 1 species